GUGUCAGCCGCCGCGGUAAUACGGAGGAUGCGAGCGUUAUCCGGAUUUAUUGGGUUUAAAGGGUGCGUAGGCGGAUGAAUAAGUCAGUGGUGAAAGGCUGCAGCUUAACUGUAGACUUGCCGUUGAUACUGUUUAUCUUGAGUGUGGUCAAGGCAGGCGGAAUGUGUAAUGUAGCGGUGAAAUGCUUAGAUAUUACACAGAACACCGAUUGCGAAGGCAGCUUGCUGGGCCAUUACUGACGCUGAUGCACGAAAGCGUGGGGAGCGAACAGGAUUAGAUACCCUGGUAGUCCACGCCGUAAACUAUGAUCACUAGCUGUUGGCGAUACACAGUCAGCGGCAAAGCAAAAGCAUUAAGUGAUCCACCUGGGGAGUACGGCCGCAAGGCUGAAACUCAAAGAAAUUGGCGG
rnacentral:rRNA from 1 species